AUUGAACGCUGGCGGCAGGCCUAACACAUGCAAGUCGAGCGGAUGAAGGGUGCUUGCUCGUGGAUACAGCGGCGGACGGGUGAGUAAUGCAUAGGAAUAUGCCUGGUUGUGGGUGAUAAGGUGCGGACGCGGGGACUAAUACGGCAUACGUGCAGAGGGAGUACGUGGGGGAUCUUCGGAUCUCAGGACAUCAGGUGAGCCUAGGUCGGAUUAGCUAGUUGGUGGGGUAAAGGCCUACCAAGGCGACGAUCCGUAACUGGUCUGAGAGGAUGAUCAGUCACACUGGAACUGAGACACGGUCCAGACUCCUACGGGAGGCAGCAGUGGGGAAUAUUGGACAAUGGGCGCAAGCCUGAUCCAGCCAUGCCGCGUGUGUGAAGAAGGUCUUCGGAUUGUAAAGCCCUUUUGGUGGGAAAGAAAAGCAGCAAGUUAAUACCUCGCUGUUCUGACGUUACCAACAGAAUAAGCACCGGCUAACUUCGUG
rnacentral:rRNA from 1 species